ensembl:lncRNA
GUUUGCUCUGCAGUAUAAAUAUAUACAUAUAUACACACAUUUAUAUACACAUAUCGAUAAAUUUAGCCCGAAACUAUUCGCUUAGACAGGAAGUAGCCAUCUAAAAAUCUCCUCCAGUUGCUCAUGUGCCGUUUAGAGUCAAUCUGAAACUGAUGCUGCCUCAGCAACAAUAUAUAUUGCUACAGUGUGUGUGUGUGUGUGUGUGUGUGUGAAUACACACUCUUCAUCUUCAUCUGUGUGUGUUACAGGAAAAAAGCUUCUGACGCUCCAGUGGUCAAGAAGGAAGAAACAAGUAGCGUGAGUCGUGUGAGUGUGUGAGAGAGAGAGAGAGAGAGAGAGAGAGAGUUGCAGGGUGUGUGAGAGAGAGUUGUGUGUGUGUGUGUGUGUGUGAGAGAGAGAGAGUCGUGUGUGUGUGUGUGUUUAUGUGAGAGUUGUGUUUGUUUGUGUGUGUGUGACUGAUAGUUCAUCUGAUCUCUCUCUCUCUGUUCUCAGGCUGAUUCUGUGAACAAUGACUCCAGAGCUGCAGACAAACCAGAUGUGGUGAAGAAGCCCUGGGAGAAACCGUCGUCUGUGUCACGGGUGAAUUCAGCUUCUAAGAGUCAGGACAAGAGCCCGGUGUCUCCCGCGACUGCGGCUCCAUUGAACAGGACGAGACCUGGCAGCAGCAUAGCAGACGCCACAGACAUGGAGAAAUUCAAACAGGACAUCCUGGAGGAGAUGCGCAAGGAGCUGCAGAAGGUGAAGGACGAGAUCAUCAGCGCUCUGCUGGAAGAGAUACAGAAGAUCAAUGUGUAGCUGCGCAUCAGGAAGAUCUGCACAAACCUCUGCGCAGAACCACGAACACAAGACGCUUCCUUCUCACGCUUCAAGAUGCAAGAAACUCACUCCUGCACCCGACACCUUUGUCGUUUUACACCCGCUGCCUUUCACUUCUCUUUUUUUGUGAAUAUUAAUGAUGUCUUUUAAUGUGUUUCUGAUCCCCUGCUGUCUCUUGCAUUUGUGUUUUAAUCUCAUCUGUUUACAUGUAUCUAGAGACGUGUGACUAGUUGUUUACGUCUGUAAUGAUCAGAAUGCAAGGGAUUCUGUGUAAUUGCAGGUUAUUUAUCAUGCACUGUUAUUUAAAACCGUGUUUGACCGGCCGGGGUUUUCAAACCAGGUCUUGAAAAUAUGAAAAAAAUAGGUUCAAUUAAAUAAGCAUAAAUAAUCUGAAUUAAUCUGAAAUAUGAUUGAAAUAAAAUUAUUUAAAAAUAAAUAAUUUGAUUAAGGUAAAAAUAUAUAUUUUUUAUUUCUUUAAAAAACAUUUGUAUAUAACAAAAACAAUUUGAUUAAAAAUAAAUAAAAUAAAAAUUAAACUAAAUUAAUACAAAAAUAAAUAAUUUACAUUACAUUACAAUUUGAAUAUAAUUUUAAACAUUAAUUACAAUUUACUGGUUAACAUCUGAAUUAAAAAAAGUUGAUUACAAUAAAUUUAUUUUAAAAUAAUAAAAAGUGAAAUAAACUGAAUUAAAAAGUGUGAUUUAAACAAAUGUAAUGGUGUAGGUUUCUAGUAAGCAAAUAAUAAUGUAUUAUUAAAAAAAAAACUUAAAAAUCGUUUUAAAAAUAAAUAGGUAUUAAGGACUAAAAUAUUUUUUUAAGAAUUUAAGUUUAAAUGACAAUCAUCUGAAAUGUGAAUUAGCAUUUUUUUUACAAUAGUUUUUCGCAAUAUAUUAAUUUAUUUUUUUAGCUGCCUUUUAAAUGUUAAAUCAUGGCCCCUUGCAGCAGGAUGAUCAUAUUUUUGGAAUCAUGUUGAAUCAUGUGAGAUAAUAAGAUUGAAGAAGAUCCAGAUGUGAGUCUCAGGGAUGCACAGAUGUUCUAAAGCUCUGAAUGUAUAUGAGGAACAACUGUCUCAAACUAUGUAUUAAAAUGUGUUAUCUGUAUGUCAUUAACACCAAAGUACUGUAGUAUUACCAUGAUACCGUGAAAGUACUUUUAAUGAGUUGAGUGUGUGUGUGUGUGUUAUUAUAAAGUAGUUCUGGGUAACUUCUUGUUUUACUGUAAGAGAUCCGCUUUGCAGCGCUUGGAAGUGCAAAUAAAGCCGUUUGAAGAUCAGGCUGAUCCCGGAUCAGUGUCUCCGCGUCACUCUGAUUCCCGCCGCAGCGCGCCAAACUGACCCCAGAUCAGCGGGGGGCGGGGCGCUGCGCGGUGACGUCACGCGGCGUGAAGCGAAGCGUGCUCCUGCUGCUGGUGAACUCUGGACGCGAGACACAGUCGUGUAAAAAACGCGUUGAGUUUCCACUCGAUCCGGAUCAAAACGCGAUAAAUGAAUCGCGACAGCCGUCGAUGUGCUCGUGUUUGACCACAAAACGAGCAAAGCGAUGGUUAACCGAGAGUUUGUGUGGUAAACUUCUGCUCAGCACUGACAGCAAACAGGUAGUUUAGAUAAAUCACUAAAUUAAGUGUUUAACCAGUGUUUCACUGUAAUAUCUGAGGUAAUAUCUGAAUAAUAUCCGAGUAAGUGUGAGUGUUCGGUAAAUGACGUUAAAGUCGGUUUGCUCGCUGAAGCUCAAAGUUCAUGUUGUGUUAGUUUGUGAAGGUAAGUUAGCUUAGCUUCAACUAGCAGCUUCAGACGACUAACUAACUAACCCUUCUUCAUCACAAACACUUCAGGACUGUUUUUUACUCAUAAUGUGGUGUCAGUUACUCAGUUUACAGUAACCGGGCGGGAAUACCGUGUUUUAAACAGUAACGAUACUACUGUAAUAUGACAGUGUUUGGACAUUUAUCGUGAUCUUCUGUCAAUAUCAGAGUAUAACAAUAUACUAAUCAAUAAAUGAUAUUAUCAUUAUAGGACACCAACACUGUACAUUUUAAGAAUUGAAUUUAGCUCCAUUUUUUAGUCGAUUUGUAAUUCCAUUUUUUUUAUCAAGCCAAAAAUUAUGUUAACAGAGAUUCCAUAUUCUGACAGUAAUAUAAACCAAGUUUGUUUGUAAUAUUUAAUCAAAUUUAACUAAAUGUCUUAUUUAUGUUUUAUGAUCAGUACAAAGCGUAGAAACACUAAAGCAAGCUUUUUGUUUUGAAAUAAAAACAGUUAUUUUAAUUAAUAAUAAUUAUUAUAUUUUGAUUAAAUUCUAUUUUGU